AUGUGGAUGAGGAAGAAGAAGGCGGCGACGACGACGAGGCCGGCGGCCAGAAGGAGGGCGCCGACGUCGCUAGGGGCGCUGUGGCGGCGCGUGGUCGGGCCGGCCCGCGGCGGCAAGGCCAAAAAGACCAAGACCAAGAAGAGCAAGAUCGGGUCGCUCUCGCGCGCGUUCCGGGUCUUCUCCUGCGUCCGCGGCCAUGGCAAAGGGAGGAUGGCUGCGCGCCGUUUGUGCGGGGGAAGUUCUGCGCGCAUGGCGGCGGCGGUGUUGGUCGACGACACUGUUCAUAGCGCCACUCCGGCUCCAGUGGCCAUCCCUCCCCCCUCCGAUGCCAUCGUCCACCCCUCCUCUCUCUCUCUCUCCCUCUCUUUCUCGGACGCCCAGAUGGCUUCAUGUGUUUCCCUCUCCGUGUAUUCGGCCUCCUCGAGCUCCCCUCCACCUCCGCGCCCCCCUCUCCACUCCAUCGUCGUCGUCCCCGGCGUGCGGGACCCCGUGUCCCUGCCAUCGCCUGCCCAGACGGGAAACCGCGGCCCCACCAUUCCCAGCUCCAAGCUGCCGCAGAUGAACAUCCCGGCCUGUCUUCAUGGCUGCUACUACAACUGCGGCGACGGGGGGCAUAUUACAGACGACUGCUGGAAGGAGACAGUCUGUGUUCACUGUGGGGGCGAGGGGCACAUCGCCCGGGAAUGCAUGAUGCCUUGUAGCCCAUCGCCGGUGGGUAGGCCUGCGCUUCCAUCACCGGUGGUUCGCCCGUCUUUGGGCCCAACCCAGGCAUCGGCCCUUUUCCCCAGGAACGUCGUGUCGCCACUCCAGCAACCCCUGCCUCCCAGCUUCGCUCGGCCAAUGUCCUGCUCCCUCUCCCCUCCCCUCCCCCCAUCUGGUCCACCACCACCAGGCACGAGCUCAUUGGCAUGUUGGCCCAUGCGUGGACAGCCGUACGAUAGAGGUGGUUCUGAGAGGCUGCAGCUUCAUGGCUCGUGUGGCAGAGCGCACUGUGCAGCGUUUCGACAUGGCCAGCUUCCAGGCUUGCGCCACCGGCGGAGCUCCGCGGUAGAUGUGCCCCCACCACUGCCACUAUUGCCUCUGACAGAUGAUGACUUGCAUGACCAUGGUGAUGCCAGCAGUGUUGGGCCUAUGAGGUGUGGAUGUAUGCAGAUGGCCGUCACCAGGGAUAAUGGAGGCUCGCCAGUUUCCUCGAUGGUGUCGGCACCACCUACAAGGCAGACGACUGUUCAAUUGGCGAAUGCUGGACAUCGGUGGGGGCCAAUCGUGGAGCGCCCGCUGUUGCUUUUGACCAGUCCUGUCAGGGAUUCUGAGGUGCACAAUGCGGUGGGCGUGCAAGGGCCGUUGCAACCCGCGUCGUCUUGCGGUUUGCGAAGUAGAGAGGAGCCGUUGGCGCGCAUGGAAGAUCCGGCAAAUAUUCUGGUGUCCCCACCGCCAGCCACUCUAGGGCGAUGGAAGGAUCGAGAGUCCGGUCAAGACAUGCCCAUGGUAGCUGCCGCUUUUUGGUGCCAUCGCAGGCUGCAGCCGGCGCGGUCUAGGAGGGGAUGGAUGAGGCCAAUGGGAGGCCAGUGCAGACACUUCUGGUGGGGUCCUUGCCGCUACUGUUGGAUGGGACGAUCGAGCCAUGUCGAACUGGGACGACAACUUUGCAGCGGAGAAGUGGAGCCCGCGUCCUCGUCCCCAGUACAUGUGGGGAACGCCUUCCUCGUGACCCUAUCAGAUGGAGUGGAGGCGGCCUCUUGUCCAGCCUCGGUUGGCACUUUCUAUCACCUCAUGCACGUUGGGCAGCAGUGCAGCCUACUAGACGAGCUGUGCGGCGAGCUGAGGGCCAGAGCCCUGACUCGCCCGCGCGCACCAUCCAAAGCCGUGCUCAACCAUUGGCAACAACAUGGGAGGCAACCAUGGGAGGAGCAGACCAAGCCCAUGCUGCCACGUCAAUCCGGGGAGGAGCUUUGCCAGAUCAGAGCGAACGGUCCGGGCUGUGUGCGGGAGAGGGGGUGUCACCGGAGCGCCGCUGCCACAGAUCCGACGGGCAGGGGCCGAGCGCCAUCACUGAAGGAUAGGGAGGCGGCACGGGACGAGGGUGCAGUGGUAGAAGGGUGCGAGUCAGAUCAAGGAUUGGAUGGGGGGCUCUGCCGCCUGGGAGGGGGACCCUCCUCCCGCUACCAACACCGGGCGCGACACGGCUUUGCCGGUCGGCCAACGACGGUGCUACGGGAAGCGGUGGUGGAGAAGGGACCUCGGGCGGCGGCGUGGCCACCGACGCCACGUAUAGCUCCGAGGGCAUCCGACGCGUACACACGCGUCGGACAGCUGCACAGACGCUUCUAUCCGCAAGCACACGUGCCGUCCCGCGAAGCACCGUGCCCCGCGAGUGAAGAGGGCGGCGACAACGACCCCGGCGGUCCGGACGAGCCGGCGGAUGCCGUCGCUCGGGGCGCUGUGGCGCCGCCUGGUCCGGGUGCUCUCCUUCGGCCGCGCUGGCCGCGGGAGGACCGCCGUGCGGCUGUGAUCAGCUGGAGCACGCUAGGUGCUGACCGGCGCAUGACGAUGACGACGAGUCCGCCGUAUAUGCACUGGUGCACCGGUAGUUGUGUCAAGAGUGUUGCAGUGGCUAAGAAUUUUUCGUGCCUAGCUGCGAGACUAAAAUACGCGACGACGAGUACGCCCUACACAGCCGGCGACGGACGCGACGACGAGUACUUCGUACUCGUCAUCAGCCCAUCACAGGUCUAUGCUCUUUUGGAUUUCGUGAGGCUUUUACAUGCUACCACCAUUCAAUGCUACCACCAUUCAGGCUUGGUGACGCUUUAA
rnacentral:rRNA from 1 species